GGUAGCCUUUUUCCACCUGUGUUUUGUGGAUGUUUAUUUUCUGUCUUUGUGUUACGUGUGUAUGUCACCAGACAGGACUGUUUCGUUCGUUCAUUUUGUAUUGAUUCAGUGUUUUCUUUAAUUAAAAACACUUACCACUCUGCGAUCCUUACUCCUCCUCAGACGAAGAGGAGGAAAUCCGUUACAAACACACAAGUAGUUUCCAGUUGUCUUGAAAGCACCAUAAAUCCAGAAAAUGCCAGACUUUGAUGGCAAAAUUUGCCCACGAAGGACUGCAGUGCCACCUUCCUGUUUAAGUGAGCACAGCACAACAAGCACUCUCCAGCAAGAAGUUGAGCAGGUCCUUGUCCUUGAACUCGGUUCCCAUGGUAACCCCCUCGCCACCCUUUAACCUCUCCAUGGCGAUGAUGAGGUUGGCAAUGUGGCGCAUGGUGAUGGGGUGAUGGGAUACCUCCAGAUCCAGACCCUGAGGCAGCUUGGAGCUCCAUGCUGCGCUUUCAGAGGUGUUCUGCACAGGACACACACAGGGGAAGAGGAAAUAUUACAUUAUAUGUUGUAUCAGUGUAUAAUUGUUU